CCUCAGCCUCCCAAAGUGCUGAGAUUACAGGUGUGAGCCACCAUGCCCAGCCCUAUUUUAAUUUCUUUGAAUUGAGAACUAACACAAUUCCAAACACACAGUAGAUAUUCAAUAAACCCUGGCUUUGUCGUUUAUUGAUUAUUUGAUCUUGGGCCUGUUACUCGCUUUAUCUAACCCUCAGCCUUCUUAUUGGUAAAAUGAUAAUAAUUGCCACCUUGCAAGGUUGUUGUUAUAAAUAGAGAUAAUAUAAGUCAAAGGUCUUGUAUAAAAUAUUACAAGAGGCAUCUCUACCCCAAAGUAACAUAUCAUCUAGUUGGAGAAAUUGAUACAAAUUAAAAGAGGCAAAUUGGUGUAGGGGAAGAAUACUAACAAGGAGCAGGAAGACCUAAGCCUCAUCUCAACUUAGCCUCUCAACACACGAGUGACUCUCCUCCUCGUUCUUUUUCUAGGUCUUACUUUCCUCACAUCAAAUUAGAGGGAGGCGGUGAGUGUGGAAUAGAGAAUCCCAAGAUCUUUUUCCACACAAUGAUUCUAGAAACAGAAAAUAAAAACAAGAGUAGAGAUAUGUAAUUCUGAAUUUUGAGGAGUAUAAAGAGAAGGCAGUUAUUCCAGGAAAUUUUUUGGAAAAUAUGAUUUAAGACAACUCUUCAAGAAAUUGAAGAACACAAACUGGUUGGAAAACAGGGAGUCGGGUGGUGGGGGGAACAAAAGAAGCACAGACAAAGGAAGAUUAACAUCCUGGGCAAAAUCUUGGAGCAGCUGUCAAAAAAAAACCCAUCAGACCCCUGGUUAGAUAUGGGGAGUUGGGGCCAAGAUGCAGUGGAACAGGAAAGGGAGGACCAGUUGAUGUAAACCUCAAGCCCUAGGCCUUAGAAUUUAGAUUUGAACUGAUUGCCGAUAGGGAGCUGCUGAAGGUUCUGAACGAGGGAGUAACAGGGUAAUAAUAGCAUUUAUAUAAUAGUCGCUAAUGCAUUUGGGGAAGUAUAUUGUGGCAGCUACUCUGCUGUCUAUAUAAAAUGCAGAUGCUAGAGGCAGGGAGACCCAAAAGGAUCUCUGGAAACUCUUCUGUAGGAUCCAGAUUUGAUUAGCUUCUUCACACCCUGGGAUCCAGGAGGGAGGUAAUGGUAUCCUUGACUAGGAUAAUGUACUACCGGGCUGCAGACAGGUACCAGUCCAUGGCCUGUUAGCAACCAGGCUGCAGAGCAGGAAGUGAGCAUCGGGCAAGCUAGUGAAGCUGAGCUGCGCCCCCUGUCAGAUCAGUGACGGCAUUAGAUUCUCAUAGGAGCGUAAACCCUAUUGUGAACUGUGCAUGUGAGGGAUCUAGGUUGCACUCUCUUUAUGAGAAAUGUAAUAUGCUUGAAUCAUCUCAAAACCAUCCCCACCCUGCAGCCCCCAGUCCAUGAAAAAUUGUAUUCCGUGUAACUGGUCCCUUGUGCCAAAAAGUCUGGGGACUGCUGGUGUAGUUGAUUGUUUUAUUGAAGAAAAUAUUCAUUUACACUGAUGCAUGCUGGGCUUAAUUCCUAGGUGAUGGGUUGAUAAGUGCAGCAAACCACUAUGGCGCACGUUUACCUAGGUAACAAACCUGCACAUUCUUUACAUGUAUCCUGGAAGUUAAAAUAAAAUAAAUAUUCAUUGAAUCUCUCUAGGAGAUUAUUAUGCAUUCAUGAGCCCUGAUUUCAGGCUUGGCCAUGUGACUUGCAGUGCCCCUAUUAUAAAGAGUAUUGUGCCUAUCAUCCUCUUGAACUCAGAAGUCAUGUGGCUUUCUUUAGCCGAUAAGAUAUGAGUGGAUGUGAUACAUGCUACUUCCAAGCAGAAGCUUGAAGAGCCACUUCAAGGUCUCACCAUCUUCUCUUUUUCUUCUGCCGUGAACCUGGUAAUGUUACUGAUAGGAGCUGCUCCUUCAGCUUAGGUACUGAAGUGAAAGGGUGUGGGGUAGAGCUGCAGCUGACCCGCAGCUAACACAUAUUUGUAAGACAUAAACCCUGGCAUCGUAACCCACUGAGAUUUUGGAAUUGUCACUGCAGCUUAUUUUAGCCUUAGCUGAUGGAUGUGGAUGAUGGCUGUAAAAAAAGAUGCCAUUAAAAAGAAAAAAAAGAGAGAAGAAAGUCGCUAAUGCAAUGAGGAAGAGCUGAGCAGCAUCUCUUGGGUUCAAGGCAUUAGAACAUUACCUCCUCAGUGAUGAGGGUCCUAUUAAAGGUUUGGAGGUGGGUGGGAAACAAAGGGAUCAUGAAUCCUGUUGUUGACAGCCUGAGGUAGAGCUGAUAUUAGGACGUCCAAAGGGAGAGACCUUGGAGGUCAGGCCUCCCCUGACUUCCUUCCCACUCCUCACUUCUCUCAUUUGAUCCUGGUAUGAGGAGGAGGGGGCUAGAGCCAAUGGAAAGUACCAUCUCUGGGCUUCCAAAUGGGAUUGCUUAGCAUAUGAAAUGUCAGUCCUAGAGAGAGUAUUAAUGACUCUGGGCAAGGGGUGAAGUAUGUGUGAGCUGGAGAAGGGCACAGGAAUGGAGAGGGAGGGGCAUCACUGAGAUCAAAGUUGCAUGACUCAUUUACAGACUUACUACUAUUUGAUAUCACAUUUGCCCUUUAUAUUACACCUAGAAUCUCAUAUUCUCAAUGAAACUUCCAGAACUGAAAUCCAGAAAUUAGUCUCUACUCACAACUUAUCACAGAGCCUGUCUUAUCUUCCAUCUAAUUGCCAAGCCCAUUUAUCUAUCGAAAUAAUACUGAUGAUAAUAAUAAUAGUUAUUUGGCAUCUACUAUGGUACUAUGUACCUGGUGCUGUGCUAAGCAUUUUCUAUACAUUUAAUCCCAACUGAGAAUGGGUCAUUUGUUAAGUUAAUGUCUCUGAGCUCAAGGCCCAGCCCUCCAUACUCCGCUUUGUGAAGCGGAAGCUGAGACUCUGCAAGUCACACUGAUGCCUUGCUGCCAGCCGCUUCAUGUCAGGCUCUUCAAACAGGGGCAGCAGAGGAGGACUGUGAGUCUUGGGGAGGGAGAAGGACCUGCACCUUCUUGUCUGCUUCCUGUUUUAGCAAUGUCUCCCCAGCAAUGCCUCCUUGCCCUGGCAGUGGGUUCAUUCCAGUAGCAAUAGUGGAAUCUAGUUUGCUGGUUUUUCAACCGUCACAGAGCCAGUCUCAUCAUGCCCACUCAACAACUCUGUACCAGCCCAGCAAGGCGAGUCCUCAGAGGUCUGGGUGUCAGCCCUGCGGGGAGCCUCCUCUACGUUUCUCAGUUUUAGUAAUUCCAGCUUCCUUGCCUUUGUUCUCCAGUCCUCAGGGUGGCAGCUACUUCCUGCAGUUCCCACCUCAGUAAUAUCUCAGAUUCAGCGUUUUACCCUUCCAGUUGCCUAGUUAACAGUUGCCUAGUUAACAACUUUCUACCCACUCAGUGAUUCUUUAUGUUUAAUUCUUUCUGUUGAAAGAACGUGUUGUUUCUCUCUCCUGCUGCGACCCAUGACUGGUGCUCUGAGGUAAAUGUUACUCUUUCCCUCGUAUAAAUAAUGUCACCAAAGCUUAGUAUUAUGCCCACUGUCAUACUGCUAAUAAGUGAUUCCAGUCAGAAUUCAGAUCUUUCUUUUAACUCCAGAGCCCUGGUCGUAACCGCUCCCGUCCCUGCUUCCUUUGGGGUCUCACGAUCUUGCUCACUUUGUGUCUGGUGUCUGCCAUCACUGGGCGACCACUUUGGAGCAGGCCCUGCUCUUUGCCCCACCCUCUGAGUGCAGGGUGGAAGGCCAGGGGGUGCGUGGUGUAGAUGACAUCACUGCAGCCCUGUCGGGACCAGAGAGAUGCCUGGCUGCUGCUGGUGCCCACAUCCACGGUGUUGUGAGUUUAGGACUUGGCACCCCAGGACCCCCUUUGCAGCCCUUGACAGAGAGCUCUUUCUCUCUCCUCAGCUUGCCCUGGCAGCUUCGGAAGCAAUGUGGGGCACCAGCAUGUGGACAGCUAGCAGCCUGGGGAGGGAACCAGGCUGGCCAGAGUGGACAAGCAGCGGGGCCCGCUGGGAACUCCCCAGUGUUUGGCUUCUCUGUUCAGGGAGGAAGCACACACUUUAAAUCUUAGUCCUCUGAAUAAAGCCAUCCCAGUUUAACGUGGUUUUGCUUAGCCCCAAGCUGGAGUGUUCCUCUUCGAACAAAAUAAACAGAAUAAUGCAAACAUUCCCUCCCCUCGGCCAUCAGUUUCCAGGCCUGAGAGUCUCCUGCAGGUCUGAUGUGGUGGCCUGUGCUGUGGGUGAGGCUGCCCUGGUGGAAUGUGGGUGAAGGGUGAGCCUCAGCCCGGCUCCCUCCCAGGCUUCCAGGCAGCAUGACCUAACCCUUCCCUGCACACACCUCAGAAGAGCCCGGUGGAGGAAAAAGUCAGGCUCAGUUAACACCAGGCCUAACCUGGCCCGCCCUCACCUCAUGGUCCUCCUGUCUACUCCUCCUGGCCCUGGGCCAGGGAUGAUCCAGCUGACACCUGGAAGGUGGUUGAGGGUGGCCUGGAAGGCAGGCAGGACCCUCAUGACACUCACAGUGCCCUUGUGCCUGACUUCACAGAUUUAGAGAGAGAGGCUGGAGAAUCAGUUACCUGAAAACAACUCAGAAUUCUGGAAGGACUGGAUUGUUCACCGUGCUCCUGAUGUUCAUAAACUUUAUUAAUUGAACAAGUCAAAGUGUACUGACUGCUUACAGUGUGCCACUGGCAGGAAGGUGCCAGCUCAAUUCAGAUGUCUUGCAUAGCAGGGCACUUGGGGAAACAGUUUGUAUUGCCAACAUUCGACAUUGUAGAUUUGUCCACCUAUUACGAUAGUUUCCUAGAAGACGAAGGUAAAGUGUCUUGAGGAAGGGGUGCCUUUGCCUAAUUUGCAUAAAGGCACCAAAUAGGCACUAGUAGUCUACUAGGACCAUCCCCCUUCCUCACGCACAUACCCUUGCUGUUGAUUUCUGUGUACCUGUUGGUAUUUGUACAUAAUAAAUACAUACAUAAAAGUUCUUGUUCCCUUCUGGAGAGGGGAAUUGGGGAAGAAGCUGCUGAGGAGAAAAGUAGGGAAGAUGGAAGGGCUGGCAUGCCUCCCACUCUCUAGCCCAGUGGUCAUGGGGCCGAUGGCCAAAGCAGAUUAAAAAACUCUUCAUUGAGUCUCAGUAGUGAAUUGCCUCGGGGCCCAGGGGCAGGUUGCUGGCAAAGGGGCCCUCCUUUCCUCUGCCCAGCAUCCAGUACUUUUGCAGCACCGGAGAACUGCAGGCCUUGGGGACAGGCAGGGACCGCACCCUUGGCAGGAACCCUCACUACCCAAGGAUGGGCAGUUGCAGGGAGGUUCUCCAUAGCUUAUGAGUGAGAAACAUGGAGCCGUGGGAACUCAGAAUGAAAGAUGCUAACUGGAGAUUGUGGUAAUUCCCUGUUUCUCUGUGGGCAUAUCUACGAGCCUCACAGACACUGGAGAUAGCCACCUAGCAAGAACUGGGGGCGUGUGGGGGAAGCUGGGAUCCCGCUGCUUUACAUUCAGCAAAUAUUUAGGGAGUGUUGGGGAAGGUGGAGCUUGUUCUGUCAUCUAGUGUGGUCAGGGUGGGCCUUUCAUAGGAAGUGACUCUGACAGAGUAGCCCAACAUGGGGCGUGGGCGCAUUUCAGGAGGAGGAACCAGCUGGUUGCACAUCAGGCUGUUCUGUGUGUCAAGAACCGCAGGCUAUCCAGUGAGGCUGGGGCAGUGAGUAUGGGGUAGGGAUGCAGAGGAGGCCAGAGAAAUAGUGGGAAACCAGAACCUUGAAGGUCCUAGACAGCACUGAGGUUUUCCUCUCGAGAUGAGAGGGUUUUGAGCAGGGGAGUAACAUGGUUUGAUGUGUGCAGAUAAAGGCUUUUAAAUCAGCAGUCAUUGCAGGUUUGUUCACAGCAGUCUUUCAUAGCGGUACUAUUAUUAUCCCCAUCAUAAAAGCAGGAAAGCUUUGCUUAAAGGAUUUAAGAAAUUUACCCAAGGUUAGCCAGAGUGUAAUGGAAGUUGGGAUUUGAACCCAACCAGAAUGAGCCCUGCUUUUAAUCACCGAUGGAUGCUGCCUCUCCAUGGCUGAAAAAACUCAUCAUGCUGCAAGAACCUUUUCCUUUAAGUCCAGUACUAGGUGUGACAGCACCCUCCACACAUGCCAAGACCUUUCUGACUUCCCAGGGAUCGACUUCACUCUGCAAUCGUCCUUCUUAGUGAUUGGAGCACCCAACUGUUGGUAUUCUCUCAGGCAUGCAAAUGCCUUUGGGUUAAGGAUCUUAUUUCAAUCUACAGGGAAAUAGGAUUCAGAGACCUAGUCCCAUUAAGGCCUAUACAUCUAUUUAAUUAAAAACAAGUUCAAAUCUUGAGGUUUGGGAAAUUGCCUGCCUAGUAAUGCAAAUCUAUAAAUUCCACUUCCUGCUGCUUCCAGGCUGACUGUAAACACCCUGAAAAAUCAGCCUCACUGGAAGUGUUUUGACCAUUCCACUUCUGGCUCAAUAGGCAGUAAUAAAUAAAAAUGAAAGUGGUGAGAGAAAAACUAGAUUAAAUUAAAACUAGCCCUUCACAGGGCUCAGCUCAGGGAGGGUGGUUAAGGACUUCUGGCUUGUUCCUGUCAUGUCUGACGUGUCUCUUUAAUUCCUAAACCCGAGUUCUCAGGGUCUGUACAGCCACCUCUUAUCUCCCUGAUGACUCACCUUCAGCUUUGAAGUUAGCAGGGACAGAUGAGUCAUCAUCAUUUCAGAAGCAACAACUGAUGCAAAGAAUCUCAGUUUUGCUAUCAAACUAGGGCAGUUAUUACAUAUUCUCAACCAAAAGCAAGCACUAAGCCCUGGCAGGGUCUACCCGUGGAGUACUCAUGGGACAAGGGUGCAGGAUAUUUGAGACUUGCGGUGUUCUAGGAAAUCUAGUUGCAUAGGAGCCACAUAUUCUGUGAAUUUGAAGUCAGAAUCUUGGGCAGCCUGAAUUCUCUAAAAGGUCUUGCUACCACUUAAGGACGGAUACAUUUCCUGAAAGACUCAUUGCCUUCCUGGUAAUAGCAGCUGUAGUGAUACAAUAGUAACAAUUACAGCACACCCCAAGGUGCUGCAAUCCCAAAACCAUCUGAGUUUGCUUGACAGUCCCUGGUAUUCAUUUGAUGAAGUCAAGCUUUGAGAUAAGCACACUUCCCAGAGCUGGUGGGGAUACUGCCUGGAUUCUCGUGGACUAGUGUGCCCAGCUAGUCUGUUGAGCAGGCCCAGGGAGGGCUGUCUGUGGAAAGGUAAACGAGAUGCAGAUGUGAGCCCCUCUGCCAACAUCUGCCAACCCAGUGAACACUGUCAUCAUCUUUUAUCACAAAGACCCACCCUCCCACUCACCUCCUCCAACACUAACCUAGGGCUCUCUUUUAGGUCUAUUCAGAGAUUCCUGGGCUACUCCACGAUGGCUAAUAGCCCAUUGCUGGCUCUCAAGUUAGCUUUUAAGUCUUCAUCCUGCCCACUGAUGAACUUUUAUUCCAAUUGCUUAGCAAUGGCAUUCUCAGGGCUCAAUGGUCAUAGACUCAUGCUUUCUGCCGUUCUGGUGACACAGCACACAAACACACUUGUGCACACAUCCCACAAACCAUAUAUACACAUCACACACAGAGGUUUCCAAUAAACCAAAUGUUGAAUCUUUUCCAGAGGGUGAGCAACUAGCCCAUGCCAAAAGAUAGAAUUGUUUCAUUAUCUUCUUAUUUUACUUUGAUUCAACUCUUAUUUCAGUAGAAUUGUUUUAUUUUUCCAGGGAGGGUUACUGUGAAAGGAACCUGAUUCUCGCUGUGUCAUUAGGAAUGCGUAUCUUUCACACCAAGCUCCAUGGUUUUGCCUCUAGAGAUGAGCUCCUGAGUCAGAAAGAAAGCUCAUUUCUUUUGGGAAUUUGAUUCUUUCAGGCAACAGAUGCUGAGUGCCUACUGUGUGCAAGAUCCCAGCUAGGUUGUUCAGGAUAUAAGAAUAGAUAGACUAAACUCUAUGCCUUCUGAUAAACAAAUCUUAAAUUUCUUUGCUGGCAACGUGAAAGACAAGUUACAUAUGUCUAUAUUUAACUCCUAAAUAGAUAACUUCAUGGAUCCAAUCUCAAUGAAACCCUUUUGCCACAGAUCUUUUGACAACUUGGGGCUCUUUUCUGUGGGAAUUUACAGCGCCAUUGCAAUGAAGGAAACUCUUUUCCAUAUUCUGUAAACUUUUGCAGAGUGCAGCCCUAGGGCAGAAGUGAUUACAGCAAGCUCCUAUUCAUUAAUUAUGCCUAUCUGAGUGCAGACACUGAGCGGCCAGUGGGCUUGGAGCUGCAUUUGGUAGUCUGUGGAGGGCUGGGUUCCACAACAGGGCUAUUGUUCUGCUCACUGUUGCCUUUGGCUCCCUUUUGGCAUUGAUUCCUAAUUGCCUCCCAACUGGGUAGGUCUGAACCUGUUUUCCAAACCUCCUUGGCAGGUAUGUAACCAAAUGUCCCCAGGCCUCACCAGCCUGCGGGAGCCAAUUAGGUACCACUUUCACUGAGAGUUAGCUAGUUACUCGCUCCACCUGUGUGACUCUUGUCCUUCACACCUCCCCUCUCUCAAAGUUUGUCUGCUUCUUUGGGGGGAGUCCACAGAAUGUACCAAGUAGGCAGAGAAAAAGUUUGCAGCUCUUGGAUGUUCAUGGCUUGUCAACCAUUUGAAACUGCCCCUCUGUCGGUGUCCUGUGUCUCAAUUCCCCUGCUCAGGGCCAAGUCUCUGGCUCAGCCCACCUAGCGCAGGUGGCUGAGCUGCUGGCUGGGGCAGCCUUGAGCUUUCAGGUGCCCAAGCCAUGCAUAACUCCCUGGGGACCUCAGGGAUGUGUUUGGUGGGCUGUGACUGUGGCACAGCUCAAAAGAAAGCACUGUGACAUCUCUCAUGAAAAUCUUUCCUGUGAUGCUUCUCUCUUUCAGGGCUUGUCUUCCAGGGUCACGAAACUAGCCCUUGGCCUCUGCCCCACCUGCAAAGCGCCACAGAGUUCCGUGUUCCCUGCAUUCCUUCUUGUGCUGUGGUCCUGCCACAUUCCUCGCAGAACUGGGGAAAACACCCUCACCCCACCCUGUGCAGUUUUUUUAUAGUUUGAGUCCCAAAGCUGCUCUGCUUGCACCUGAGGAUCUAAAAUUUUCUGUGCUGACAGCUCCUCAGUUUCUGGCUCUGACUUUGCUCUCCUUAGGGGCUCACACCCUACAGGGCCUCCCUUCACUGUCCUGCAACUCCCCCAACUCUCCCUUAGUGCCCAUCCACUGUUCAUUAAACUCCUCCUUGCUGCUCCAGCUAAAAAUCAAGAGGAUGCAGAUCAACUGUGCAAAUAAAUACUUGGAGACUGUGGAUGGCUUCUAGUCUCAAGUGGCCUUGUUGCAAGAAAAGCACUGAGCUUCUAACAUGCAUAUUCCUUUUUCAGGCUUUAGAUAGAAAGCAGCUUACAGCUUCUUGACAGCAAGGUCCUUAACUCCCUUCCUUAAUUUCCCCACCCUGUUUCCUAAAAGGGUAAAAUGAGAUAGUGCGGUGAAAGUUAUACCUAAAUUGCAAAUGGCCAUGUCAGUGUUGUGUAAGGUUAAAACCUUGCAUGCAUCAAUGCUCAAGAGAUACCAAUACUGAAUGACUAGAGGCCAUGACAUUUAUUAUUUUUCUAGUAAUCCGUUAAAAUAUUUAUUGAGCAUCUAUUAUGUGACAGUUUCUAUUCUAGACAUGGAAGAUAUAGGGAUGAAAAAGAAAGAGAUCCUAAUGGGGAAAGAUGAAUGCUAAAUAAACUAGUUAAAAACAAUAAAUAAGAAAAUAUCAGACUGUGACAAAUGGUCUUCAGAGAACUGACUCAGAGUAAUGUGAUGGAGGGUGACUACACGGUUCUGUUAGAGCAGGAAACCAGGUCAGGCCUCCCUGAGGCAGUGACAAGUCGAGAUCAGAUUGCAGGAGGAGUCAUCCAGGCAAGGUCAGCGGAAAGAGGACUCUAGGCAGAAGAGCAGCCUGGGCAAGGAGCGGGGGUGAGCUUGGUGAGCUGUGAUGAUGGAGUCCAGGAAAGGGGGAGGCUUUGUUUUUCUGCUUUUUACAUAAUGGGAAGCAAUUAGAGUUUGAAACAGGGGAGUAACAUAGUCUGGUUUAUGUUUAAAAAAGAGAACUUAGGCUGCUGUGGGAGGAAGGGGUUGAAGUGGCUCAAGAGAGGCCUGGAAGACCAGGCAGGAGUCUAAUCUGGUAGGAUGGUGAUGGGGCCAAGGUGACCAGAUCCAGCUUGGAGAGCAUAGACAGAUUUGGGGUCUUUGGAGGUAGAGCUGACUGGACUUGUUGAUUGAUUGGAUGUGGAAAGCAAGGAAAGAGGGGGCUUCAAGGUUCCUGGGUGAUAACUAUAGAAACCAGAAGCCUCUUACUAGAUUGGGAUGCAGGUGGCCUGCAUCAGGGUGGUGACCAAAGUGUUAGGAGAGUGGCUUAUCCUACAGGAGGGGGAAGGGGCACUAGCACCUUUCUUUUUCUCUCUGACAUGUGUGGGUACUGCAGGAAGAUUGGAGAGAAGCUGCUAGAGCAAUCAGUUGGUUUCAGAUACUUAAAAAGCAGCUUUUGAAAGCAAACUAUAGCCAGUUCCACAGGCUAGAAAGUCAAAUAACUUUAAAAUAGCCCAAGGCAGGUAUAGUGAAUUAAACUGGCCAAAAGUUCUGUUUACUGUCUGAAAUAUCCAUGGCAGCGGUACGGAGAGUUCAGGAGCUGGGCUGGGCUUGGGGAUUUCUGAUAACAGUCUUCACCUUGGAAUUUAAUUUGUUUUACUUAAGGGUAAGCCUGAGCACUAUUCUCAUGAAAACUACCUGCCCAAUCUAUUCUUUAAGGACCUGAAAACCCAGACCCCAAAGGAAUGUUCUGCUUUGCCAACAUUUACUGUCCCGGUAUUUGCUGACUUCACAAACAGAACUUGAUGAAAAUAUGAAAAGACCUGAGAAAGGGUGAAUGUAUGAGAGAAAGACCCUCUGGGAGCGCAAGGAAUUUACAGAUCCCUGAAUUUUAUCACUGUAGUUACUUUUAAAUUAAAGACAAUAACUGUUCCUCCCAGGUUCUCAUUGACAAAUAAGAAUGCCGAUGUCACUCAAGCGUAUGAUAUGAUAAUCUUUCCCAGAACUGGGAGUAUCCAGAACUAACCAGACAUGGGAACUGUGUUUUUUCAAUGUCUGAGACUUUCUCCUAAUUCCAUCUUAGUCACACGUAGUUACUCAUUACCUUGAAGGGCAUUAAGAGUUUAUCCAUGGCCACUGUACAUUUUGUGCUGCUUUGUUAAAUCAGGAAAAAAUGCAGACAGCUGAGUCAUAGUUUUCAAUUAGUCUUUCAAUUUCACCAGGAGCAAAGUUUUUUAAUAUCUUUAUCAAUUUUGUUGCUUUUCAUAUGACUCUGAUUACAUACUUUGCAGAAUAAUCCAGCCUUUUGCUUAAGUAUAUUAAUAAUGCAUAAUAUAAAUGGAGAACUACAUUAUCAAAGUACUCUUAAACAGAGGUGAAAACUUGAAAUCCAGCAAGAUUUAGUGACUCACAUUCAUAGCCUAUAGAGAUGUGACAGAGGAAAGGAGAAUAAGAUAAUUAAGAACCUUGAAAUCAUGACAGGGCUUUAUUACCCUAAGAGAACUACUCUAUAUGAUUUUCAAAAUCUAAAAUUUAUUUAAAUCGACAGAAAUUACACAACCAUUUUAUAUCCAGCCCUACUAUACGGAAUAAGUAUUCAUACAUUUUAUCAAUAAAAUAUUUUAAGUACUGCUGACAUGUAAAACACUGUUGAUAUAAGGGCCUCAUCUUCAAGGAACCUUUAUCUAGUUGAGUAGAAAACACAGAUGAACUAGUUCAAUGGCAGCACAAAGUGAAAUGUGAGAUGAUUUCAAAUGAGAGGUAUGGCCAAUAUGUGCUUGAAGGUCAAAGACUGUUUCUUGCCUGAAAUAGUCAGGUCCCUGACCUCAGCUAAAUGGUCCUUGAAGGACAGGCAAGAUGUGGGUGGGAGAGACUAAAGGACAAGUUUCUUCAGGUGGGAGGAAUGGCACACACAAACGUACCACCUGGGAAGGAUUCAAGCGUGCACACAGCAAAAGGGACCCACUUGGUGGGAAGGUUUUGUGGGGACAUUGUUAAAAAAAAUAGACUAACACAGAUAGUGUCAUUUGCUGGGAUAGAAAUAACAUCCUUUCUGAGACAAUAAUGCCUUGGCUGACACUGUGUCUAUAUGCAAUUGUGGAGGAGCUUAGUCACAAAUAAUCUUUCUUAUCUAUUUGCAUGAGUCAGGCUGGAGCUAGAAAAAUUGAUAAAAAAUUAACUCAUUAAAGAAGCAGGAACUCGCUCCUCAGGAAGUAGGAAGAGGAAUUAAGACGAACUCAAGCAGAUUGUAGUUAUUUGAGCAAAGGAGAAGCAGAGUCACAAAAUGGACUCCAAGAUCCUCCUACCUGGCGAAUAGUGUUCUGCUCACCUGCUUCAUGCCAAGAUGUUAAUAUCUCUGUCUACGGAAAGUCUGCUUUUAGAAAAGGUUUGCCUCUGAGAAAGGCCCUUGGUGAGCUGGAACACUCUGCCAGAUGGGUAAGUCUUAGAGCAAAAGAUGCUGUGUCCACACUGGUCUCUGGCUGGCUAGGAGAAUGGUACAAAUGGCUAAUGUUCUUCAUGAAUUUCUGUUACACAUCAUAGAACUUAUUCUAUAAGGACACACACUAAUCAUUUAUAGAGUGAGCUGAAAUCCCUAAAUAACCCAGGUGGAGAAAAUAACCACACUGGUGAAUACUCUUGUUAUUUAUCAGCAGGUGUACAUUCUAGACACCUGAGUCAGGCCCAGAGGGAGAAAGUUUCCUUAAUUUGUAGGUGGCAUAAGGAUAUUUCUGUCUGUCAUGCUCUUAAUGUGUCUGUCCUCUUCCCAAUUCUAAAGUGCAAAUGGCCUAACCCAGUCAGCAGAAGAAAAAUGCAGGUAUCAAAUUUAGCAUUCUCUCAACACGGCAUUUGUUCAUUCUAGCCUCUCCUUUUGCAAAUACAUCUUUUAGAGCUCUUAAUAAUGAAACUACUUACUUAUGUUAUUGAUAAUGGUUCCAAAACAAAUAUCAGACUUUAAGUGAUUUCAACCCUUCCUGCGCAAACUCUGGGACUUUCCUAGGUGAUAUAAGAGUACUGAGCUUUCUAGGUUAUGAGAACAUUGCAGAGAUAGGCAGAGUUAAUUUUUUGAUAAUUUGUAAUAUGGCUUCUAGGGUUUUUAAGUCUUAGAAGCAAUUUCUUUUCUAUGAAGGGUCUUCGAAAGUUCAUAGAAAAUGCGUAUUAUGAAAAAAACUAUGCAUGGAUUUCAAUUUUUUUUGCACCAAAAUAAACUCAUAUUAACUUGUUACAAUAUACCUGAAGAUAAUCUAGUUUAAGGCACUAGGAAGGAUAAGACAUAUACCAGGCAAGGUGAUUCACACCUGUAAUCCCAGAACUUUGGGAGGCUGAGGCGGGUGGCUCACUUGAGCUCAGGAGUUCAAGACCAGGCUGGGCAACAUUGUGAAACCUUAUCUCUACAAAAAAAGUAAAAAU